UUGGGUCUUCAAGAGAUGCAGUUAUCAAUCUGUUCCUAUAAUUUAGCCGUGUAAUUUGAUUUGCAGACAUUCAAAUUGGGUGGUUAAUGGCCCACGUUUUCAUUUUGAUCUGUUUUCCUCUCCCGUUUCAUUUUUGAUGCAGGAUAAAGGAGCCGUUGUUUCAAUGAAGAAUCCUCUGAUCAAUGGAAAAGGUAUCGUGCUCACCUUUAGUUUCCUUUAUCGACUUCAAUUCGUCGUUAACUGGUGACGACGAAUAUCUCCUCUGUGCUGUGCUUUCUUCACAUUCCGAGAUUUGAAACUAACGGUGGCCAUGGAUUCUGGUGUAAGCGCAUCCCAUUGGGUGUGGUUUCUCCUUCGUCCAUUCCUACUGCACAGCGGAGGCGAUCUUCGCAUUAUGGACCUUCUCCGUCGCAUAUAACAAGACUGUGCCAGUUUCGCGAUUUGAAACUCCCACUCCUGCCAAUAUGAACCGCCAACAACUCUCCCAGUCCACACAUGGUUCAGGUUCUGCAAACACACGUGCUACACCAAGCAGACCCUUUGAUCAAAGUCAUGUUUUUAGACAACUACCUCAAACACAUGGUAUUCUCCAGAGUCCGUAGUGAAUUUUACCUGACGUGCCUUGAUUUCCCCAAGCAUCGAAAUUAUUCUACAGGAGAUUGCAGGACACACGGUUCAGAUCAGACACAAAACUCUGCGAGUCAGUUGACACAGAGUAGUCAUCAAACACCUUUCAGAGGCUGUAAGCGCAUAUCUUUGGGACCUGAUUCUCCUUCGACGCGUGAUGGUGAACUUACCUUCAUGUGACCUUUCAAGUCGACUUUGUUGCAAAGAAACUCUAUUUUGUUGCUGAUGGGUGUGAAGCAAAUAGUUGGCCAAUAUCUUCCUCAACAGAAACACCAUUUAUAUAUAUAUUCUUAAAUUGGAUAUGUAAGUUUACUAUAUUAACUGUGUGUAUUAGAUUCUGAGAUAAGUCCUAUUGUCAUACAUAUUUAUAUUAACAGUCAACUUACACUUCUCAUUGCUUUCUUCUUCCAACCCUUAAUAAGUCAUCUGUAAUUUGUUCUCCUUGAUAGAACACUGAUGUUCAUCAAAGUGCCCCUUAAUCACGUAAGCAGACCUCUGUCGAUGAACAUAUAAAAGGUAUCAACAUGUUUGCACUCUCAAUAUGAAUAAAACAGCGAAACUGUUAUUUCACCUUGCGAUUUAAAUGAUAUGAUUAUUAGUAGUCACAAUUCACAAAGGUAUAAGUGUUGAUUUUAUAUUAAUUUAAACUGUGGAAGACAAAUGAAAAAGGAUUUUGAGGCAAUGUAACAUAUGUGUGGUUUGUGCCUAUUUAUUGAUUUACGGAAAUCUUAAAUUUCAUAAGAAUGGCUAGAAGCCGGGAAGCUGCAAAGGAUAGUUCUUGUGCUAAUGAGCAAAGCUACUAAUGAGGUUUCGGAGAGACGGAACUUCAGUAUCCAGACUGAUCAAGAGGUUUUCUAAAAAGGGGUCUGAGACUACUCAGAUAUUGACACUAGACAAUGGCUAAUUAUUGAUUUGUUGGAGUUCUAUUUCCACACCAAGCAGUUGAGAAUUUGAGAUGCAUCCUUAUUCAAUAGAUGAGAUAAGGGGAUUGCUGUGUUGAGAUUUACCUACUUUAGAGCCUCUGUGUCUGAAAAGCCAUUAUCACAUGGAAACCUGUGAGCUUCUGGAGUCCGUAUCAUGGACUACAAGAUUCCUAAAAGACCUUGGGAUUUCCCAACUUUAUCGAGUCUAGAACUUGGUGAGAAUAAAUAUCCCAAUACCCAGAGUUCCUGUAUCGGAUAUAUUGUGCAUUCAAAGGCAGACUACCAAUCAAACUCAAGACCAUUUGCUCAGCGUCAAAUUUUGACUUGAGUUAGUACUACGUCUCUGUUGAUGCCAUCUCCCGUCGAAAAGUCCGGUAAAAUCUAAAUGCAUAGUUGAUAUGGAUUUUGCAAACAGUAUGUGGAUUGGCAUGUGUGCUAGCUCUGAUUAUAUGUUUUGCAAUUAUUAUGCAUAAGUUCACGCGACAUCUGCCUGAGGAGCCUGGCUCACCUGGUGGCAUCUCACAUUCAGCCCGUCUUCAGACAUUCCUCUCUUUUGUUGAUGAGAAGAAAGUGGAUUUAAAAUCUAAAUCCAAGCGAAUAAAUAUGGAAUUGGCUUCUAAUGUAGUGGUAGAUGAAGUUACAUCAGUGAACAGAUCAAAUAGAAGUUGUAAAUUCAUGUCUACAAACAAGAGUAUAAAUACUCAGGGUGCCAGUGAAACCACCUGAAACUGUUACAAAGUUUCAUGCCAGCAAGUUACAAAGCAUGAUGUAUCAUAGUUCAUUCGGUGCUGCAAACUAAUAUUCAGUACUUAGCCAUGCUGAAUUGUUAGUUUGUUGCUGGCAGCUUUAGACAGGAAAAGAUAAUGAGAGAUAUUGGUUUAUAUGUAACCUACAGGCUACGA